rnacentral:tRNA from 1 species
CAGGAGGUAGUUUAAUUUAAAAUAUUAAUUUUGGAGAUUAAUGAUAAAGUACUUUCUUUUCUCUUGA